AAUNUAAAGUCAAAUCUGCUCACUGAAUAUUUAAAGAGCCGCAGUAUAUUGACUGUGCAAAGGUAGCAUAAUCAAUAGUUUUUUAAUUGAGAACUGGUAUGAAUGAUUAGACGAGAAAUUAUUUUUCUUUAUUCUAUUAAGUUAAAUUUUAAAUUUAAGUGAAAAUGCUUAAAUAUAUUUAAAAGACGAGAAGACCCUAUAGAUUUUUAUUAUUUAAAUGAAUUUUAAAUUUAAUUUAGUAGAAUAAUUUGGUUGGGGCGAUUUUUUAAUAUAUAAAACUUAAUUUUUUAAAAACAUAAAUAAUUGGAUAUUUGGUCUAAAAUUUUUAAAGAAAAGAUUAAAUUACCUUAGGGAUAACAGCGUUAUUUUAUUUAAGAGUUCAUAUCUAUAAUGAAGUUUGCGACCUCGAUGUUGAAUUAAGAUAAUAUAUUGGAGUAGAAAUUAAUAUAAUUAGUCUGUUCGACUAUUAAAUUCU
rnacentral:rRNA from 1 species